rnacentral:rRNA from 1 species
UUGGUACUGAGACACGGACCAAACUCCUACGGGAGGCAGCAGUGAGGAAUAUUGGUCAAUGGACGCAAGUCUGAACCAGCCAUGCCGCGUGCAGGAUGACGGCUCUAUGAGUUGUAAACUGCUUUUGUACGAGGGUAAACUCACCUACGUGUAGGUGACUGAAAGUAUCGUACGAAUAAGGAUCGGCUAACUCCGUGCCAGCAGCCGCGGUAAUACGGAGGAUUCAAGCGUUAUCCGGAUUUAUUGGGUUUAAAGGGUGCGUAGGCGGUUAGAUAAGUUAGAGGUGAAAUCCCGGGGCUUAACUCCGAAAUUGCCUCUAAUACUGUUUGACUAGAGAGUAGUUGCGGUAGGCGGAAUGUAUGGUGUAGCGGUGAAAUGCUUAGAGAUCAUACAGAACACCGAUUGCGAAGGCAGCUUACCAAACUAUAUCUGACGUUGAGGCACGAAAGCGUGGGGAGCAAACAGGAUUAGAUACCCUGGUAGUCCACGCAGUAAACGAUGAUAACUCGCUGUCGGCGAUACACAGUCGGUGGCUAAGCGAAAGCGAUAAGUUAUCCACCUGGGGAGUACGUUCGCAAGAAUGAAACUCAAAGGAAUUGACGGGGG